AAAUGAAUUGACGGGGGCCCGCACAAGCGGAGGAACAUGUGGUUUAAUUCGAUGAUACGCGAGGAACCUUACCCGGGUUUAAAUGUAUGUUGCAUAGAGUAGAGAUAUUCUUUUUCUUCACGGAACCACAUACAAGGUGCUGCAUGGUUGUCGUCAGCUCGUGCCGUGAGGUGUCGGGUUAAGUCCCAUAACGAGCGCAACCCUUGCUACCAGUUACCAUCACGUAGAGGUGGGGACUCUGGUAGGACUGCCGCCGUAAGGCGUGAGGAAGGAGGGGAUGACGUCAAAUCAGCACGGCCCUUACAUCCGGGGCGACACACGUGUUACAAUGGUAGGUACAGAGGGCAGCUACACAGCGAUGUGAUGCCAAUCUCCAAAACCUAUCUUAGUUCGGAUUGGAGUCUGCAACUCGACUCUAUGAAGCUGGAUUCGCUAGUAAUCGCAUAUCAGCCAUGAUGCGGUGAAUACGUUCCCGGGCCUUGUACACACCGCCCGU
rnacentral:rRNA from 1 species